rnacentral:rRNA from 1 species
GAUGAACGCUGGCGGCGUGCCUAAUACAUGCAAGUCGAGCGAACAGAUGAGGAGCUUGCUCCUCUGACGUUAGCGGCGGACGGGUGAGUAACACGUGGAUAACCUACCUAUAAGACUGGGAUAACUACGGGAAACCGGAGCUAAUACCGGAUAAUAUAUUGAACCGCAUGGUUCAAUAGUGAAAGACGGUUUUGCUGUCACUUAUAGAUGGAUCCGCGCCGCAUUAGCUAGUUGGUAAGGUAACGGCUUACCAAGGCAACGAUGCGUAGCCGACCUGAGAGGGUGAUCGGCCACACUGGAACUGAGACACGGUCCAGACUCCUACGGGAGGCAGCAGUAGGGAAUCUUCCGCAAUGGGCGAAAGCCUGACGGAGCAACGCCGCGUGAGUGAUGAAGGUCUUCGGAUCGUAAAACUCUGUUAUUAGGGAAGAACAAAUGUGUAAGUAACUAUGCACGUCUUGACGGUACCUAACCAGAAAGCCACGGCUAACUACGUG